GACGAACGCUAGCGGCGUGCUUAACACAUGCAAGUCGAGCGGUAAGGCCCUUUCGGGGGUACACGAGCGGCGAACGGGUGAGUAACACGUGGGUGACCUGCCCUCAGCUCUGGGAUAAGCCUGGGAAACCGGGUCUAAUACCGGAUAUGACUCCAUGACGCAUGUUGUGGGGUGGAAAGCCUUGUGCGGCUGAGGAUGGGCCCGCGGCCUAUCAGCUUGUUGGUGGGGUGAUGGCCUACCAAGGCGACGACGGGUAGCCGGCCUGAGAGGGCGACCGGCCACACUGGGACUGGGACACGGCCCAGACUCCUACGGGAGGCCAGCAGUGGGGAAUCUUGCGCAAUGGACGAAAGUCUGACGCAGCGACGCCGCGUGUGGGAUGAAGCUCUUCGGGGUGUAAACCACUGUUGCCCGGGAAGAAUCUCCUGAUUCAUCAGGAUUGACGGUACCGGGUGAGGAAGCACCGGCUAACUCUGUGCCAGCCGCCGCGGU
rnacentral:rRNA from 1 species